rnacentral:rRNA from 1 species
UACAGAGGUCUCAAGCGUUGUUCGGAUUCAUUGGGCGUAAAGGGUGUGUAGGCGGCCAGGUAGGUCUGGUGUGAAAACUCGAGGCUUAACCUCGAGAUGUCAUCGGAAACCAUUUGGCUAGAGUCCGGAAGAGGAGAGUGGAAUUCCUGGUGUAGCGGUGAAAUGCGCAGAUAUCAGGAAGAACACCAAUGGCGAAAGCAGCUCUCUGGGACGGUACUGACGCUGAGACGCGAAAGCGUGGGGAGCAAACAGG